UCUCCUAUUUCUCUUUCUUUAAUAUAUAUAUAUAUAUAUAUAUACAAGUGAGACGAAGAAAUGACAGACAGACGGACAAAGAGCGAGGGAGGGAGGGGUACCCGGCACAAACAAUAUUGCCGGCGUUGGGUGCCUAGAUGAGUGACACGCGUCUUGGUUUUACCAAGAUAAGGAGUCAUUAUUACAAGAAAAUCAGACAAGGACGUGGGACGAUGCAGUAAACAACGUAUUGGCUAUUGGGGCGCACACGGUUUUCCGUGUUUUUCUUCUAGAACCUGCUGACAUUCUAUCUGCGAAUUGGAGAUCUUAUAGCUGGCAAGUGGCAAUAAAUAAAACAUUUAUGCUGUUUAUUAUUAUAUUCAUAGACUUUAUUAUAUAAUCACUAAAUCAACUUAGCGUACAAGGAAUGGAGAUAAUAAUACAAUACGAAAUCAUCUUUUUAUUGUAAUUUGUACAAUGCGGUCUUAGUUUGUACUUUUCUACUAUACACAUUAAAAAUAAUUGUCCAAGGACUCAAAGAUUAGCCAGCUAGCAUGCAUGCAGUUUUAUCUUGUUUUCAAAAUAGUAUUAGAAUAGUUUUCAUUUCUUUCAUCAAACCAUAACUGCGAUACGUAUCUGAACAAACAACCAUAAUAUUUUCUUUUUAAUGAUUUUCAUCAUAUUAGAAUUGGGAACAUAUACAUCUGGCUAAAAAUGGAAAUCUUAAAUGAUUUAAAUCUGAAAAUUUUGACUAGGCUGUUGUUCAAUGAGUGCAUGGUGAACUACAUAAUCUUCUAUAACCAAUGAAGAGAUCUAUCUCCAUGAUCAGUACAAAGGAGUUAUUGCAGGUGAAGCAGGCAUCGGUUUCACCAAGUCCCUUAAGGGAAUGCCAAAAUUAAUUAAGUUGAAUCAAAAAGAAGAACGGAUGGUGCAGGAAAGGGCAAAGAUUUCACCUUGACCAGUCAAUCAGCCCGUCAAAUAAUGUAACCAGUUUUGCCGUUCUUUGCCCA